UUUUUUGGUAUCGAUGUUAAGUAUUUAUACCGUUUUCAAGUUUGAGACAGAAUACAGAGUAAACAAUAGAAGCAAAAAAAA
rnacentral:sRNA from 1 species